UACUCCUACGGGAGGCAGCAGUAGGGAAUCUUCCGCAAUGGACGAAAGUCUGACGGAGCAACGCCGCGUGAGUGAUGAAGGUUUUCGGAUCGUAAAGCUCUGUUGUUAGGGAAGAACAAGUGCGAGAGUAACUGCUCGCACCUUGACGGUACCUAACCAGAAAGCCACGGCUAACUACGUGCCAGCAGCCGCGGUAAUACGUAGGUGGCAAGCGUUGUCCGGAAUUAUUGGGCGUAAAGGGCUCGCAGGCGGUUUCUUAAGUCUGAUGUGAAAGCCCCCGGCUCAACCGGGGAGGGUCAUUGGAAACUGGGAAACUUGAGUGCAGAAGAGGAGAGUGGAAUUCCACGUGUAGCGGUGAAAUGCGUAGAGAUGUGGAGGAACACCAGUGGCGAAGGCGACUCUCUGGUCUGUAACUGACGCUGAGA
rnacentral:rRNA from 1 species